UUUAUGAAGUGGUUAGAAUGAGUAGUGUAGCGGUGAAAUGCAUAGAUAUUACUCAGAAUACCGAUUGCGAAGGCAGAUCACUAAUAAUCGACUGAACGCUGAUGGACGAAAGCGUAGGUAGCGAACAGGAAUUAGAUACCCUGGUAGUCUACGCCGUAAACGAUGGUUACUAGCUGUUCGGCCUAGAUUGAGGGCUGAGUGAUUAAAGCGAAAGUGAUAAGUAAACCCACCUGGGGAGUACGUUCGCAAGAAUGAAACUCAAAGGAAUUGACGGGGGCCCGCACAAGCGGUGGAGCAUGUGGUUUAAUUCGAUGAUACGCGAGGAACCUUACCAGGGCUUAAAUGUAGUCUGACAGGGCUGGAAACAGCUUUUUCUUCGGACAGAUUACAAGGUGCUGCAUGGUUGUCGUCAGCUCGUGCCGUGAGGUGUCAGGUUAAGUCCUAUAACGAGCGCAACCCCUGUGGUUAGUUGCCAGCGAGUCAAGUCGGGAACUCUAGCCAGACUGCCGGUGCAAACCGCGAGGAAGGUGGGGAUGACGUCAAAUCAUCACGGCCCUUACGUCCUGGGCCACACACGUGCUACAAUGGUAGGGACAGAGAGCAGCCACUUCGCGAGAAGGAGCGAAUCUACAAACCCUAUCACAGUUCGGAUCGCAGUCUGCAACUCGACUGCGUGAAGCUGGAAUCGCUAGUAAUCGGAUAUCAGCCAUGAUCCGGUGAAUACGUUCCCGGGCCUUGUACACACCGCCCGUCAAGCCAUGGAAGCCGGGGGUACCUGAAGUCGGUCACCGCAAGGAGCCGCCUAGGGUAAAACUGGUAACUGGGGCUAAGUCGUAACAAGGUAGCCGU
rnacentral:rRNA from 1 species